rnacentral:rRNA from 1 species
UGGGGAAUAUUGCACAAUGGGCGCAAGCCUGAUGCAGCCAUGCCGCGUGUGUGAAGAAGGCCUUCGGGUUGUAAAGCACUUUCAGCGGGGAGGAAGGCGGUGAGGUUAAUAACCUCAUCGAUUGACGUUACCGACAGAAGAAGCACCGGCUAACUCCGUGCCAGCAGCCGCGGUAAUACGGAGGGUGCAAGCGUUAAUCGGAAUUACUGGGCGUAAAGCGCACGCAGGCGGUUGAUUGAGUCAGAUGUGAAAUCCCCGGGCUUAACCCGGGAAUUGCAUCUGAUAAUGGUCAGCUAGAGUCUUGUAGAGGGGGGUAGAAUUCCAUGUGUAGCGGUGAAAUGCGUAGAGAUGUGGAGGAAUACCGGUGGCGAAGGCGGCCCCCUGGACAAAGACUGACGCUCAGGUGCGAAAGCGUGGGGAGCAAACAGG